GAUGAACGCUGGCGGCGUGCCUAAUACAUGCAAGUCGAGCGAAUGGAUUAAGAGAUUGCUCUUAUGAAGUUAGCGGCGGACGGUUGAGUAACACGUGGGUAACCUGCCCAUAAGACUGGGAUAACUCCGGGAAACCGUGGCUAAUACCCGCUAACAUUUUGAACCGCCUGGUUCGAACUUGAAAGGCGGCUUCAGCUGUCACUUAUGGAUGGACCAGCGUCGCAUUAGCUAGUUGGUGAGGUAACGGCUCACCAAGGCAACAAUGAGUAGCCGACCUGAGAGGGUGAUCGGCCACACUGGGACUGAGACACGGCCCAGACUCCUACGGGAGGCAGCAGUAGGGAAUCUUCCGCAAUGGACGAAAGUCUGACGGAGCAACGCCGCGUGAGUGAUGAAGGCUUUCGGGUCGUAAAACUCUGUUGUUAGGGAAGAACAAGUGCUAGUUGAAUAAGCUGGCACCUUGACGGUACCUAACCAGAAAGCCACGGCUAACUACGUGCCAGCCGCCGCCGUAA
rnacentral:rRNA from 1 species